rnacentral:rRNA from 1 species
ACGAACGCUGGCGGCGUGCUUCACACAUGCAAGUCGAACGGAAAGGCCCCCUUGUGGGGUACUCGAGUGGCGAACGGGUGAGUAACACGUGAGUAACCUACCCUUGACUUUGGGAUAACUUCAGGAAACUGGGGCUAAUACCGGAUAGGAGCUCCUGCUGCAUGGUGGGGGUUGGAAAGUUUCGGCGGUUGGGGAUGGACUCGCGGCUUAUCAGCUUGUUGGUGGGGUAGUGGCUCACCAAGGCUUUGACGGGUAGCCGGCCUGAGAGGGUGACCGGCCACAUUGGGACUGAGAUACGGCCCAGACUCCUACGGGAGGCAGCAGUGGGGAAUAUUGCACAAUGGGCGGAAGCCUGAUGCAGCAACGCCGCGUGCGGGAUGACGGCCUUCGGGUUGUAAACCGCUUUCGCCUGUGACGAAGCGUGAGUGACGGUAAUGGGUAAAGAAGCACCGGCUAACUACGUG